rnacentral:rRNA from 1 species
GGGUUGUGAGGUUAAGCGACUAAGCGUACACGGUGGAUGCCCUGGCAGUCAGAGGCGAUGAAGGACGUGCUAAUCUGCGAUAAGCGUCGGUAAGGUGAUAUGAACCGUUAUAACCGGCGAUUUCCGAAUGGGGAAACCCAGUGUGUUUCGACACACUAUCAUUAACUGAAUCCAUAGGUUAAUGAGGCGAACCGGGGGAACUGAAACAUCUAAGUACCCCGAGGAAAAGAAAUCAACCGAGAUUCCCCCAGUAGCGGCGAGCGAACGGGGAGCAGCCCAGAGCCUGAAUCAGUGUGUGUGUUAGUGGAAGCGUCUGGAAAGGCGCGCGAUACAGGGUGACAGCCCCGUACACAAAAAUGCACAUACUGUGAGCUCGAUGAGUAGGGCGGGACACGUGGUAUCCUGUCUGAAUAUGGGGGGACCAUCCUCCAAGGCUAAAUACUCCUGACUGACCGAUAGUGAACCAGUACCGUGAGGGAAAGGCGAAAAGAACCCCGGCGAGGGGAGUGAAAAAGAACCUGAAACCGUGUACGUACAAGCAGUGGGAGCACGCUUCGGCGUGUGACUGCGUACCUUUUGUAUAAUGGGUCAGCGACUUAUAUUCUGUAGCAAGGUUAACCGAAUAGGGGAGCCGAAGGGAAACCGAGUCUUAACUGGGCGUUAAGUUGCAGGGUAUAGACCCGAAACCCGGUGAUCUAGCCAUGGGCAGGUUGAAGGUUGGGUAACACUAACUGGAGGACCGAACCGACUAAUGUUGAAAAAUUAGCGGAUGACUUGUGGCUGGGGGUGAAAGGCCAAUCAAACCGGGAGAUAGCUGGUUCUCCCCGAAAGCUAUUUAGGUAGC